rnacentral:rRNA from 1 species
GAAAGAUGGCUUUAGCUAUCACUCUGGGAUGGACCUGCGGUGCAUUAGCUAGUUGGUAAGGUAACGGCUUACCAAGGCGAUGAUGCAUAGCCGAGUUGAGAGACUGAUCGGCCACAAUGGAACUGAGACACGGUCCAUACUCCUACGGGAGGCAGCAGUAGGGAAUCUUCCACAAUGGGCGCAAGCCUGAUGGAGCAACACCGCGUGAAUGAAGAAGGGUUUCGGCUCGUAAAGCUCUGUUGUUGGAGAAGAACGUGCGUGAGAGUAACUGUUCGCGCAGUGACGGUAUCCAACCAGAAAGUCACGGCUAACUACGUGCCAGCAGCCGCGGUAAUACGUAGGUGGCAAGCGUUAUCCGGAUUUAUUGGGCGUAAAGCGAGCGCAGGCGGUUGCUUAGGUCUGAUGUGAAAGCCUUCGGCUUAACCGAAGAAGUGCAUCGGAAACCGGGCAACUUGAGUGCAGAAGAGGACAGUGGAACUCCAUGUGUAGCGGUGGAAUGCGUAGAUAUAUGGAAGAACACCAGUGGCGAAGGCGGCUGUCUGGUCUGCAACUGACGCUGAGGCUCGAAAGCAUGGGUAGUGAACAGGAUUAGAUACCCUGGUAGUCCAUGCCGUAAACGAUGAGUGCUAGGUGUUGGAGGGUUUCCGCCCUUCA